rnacentral:rRNA from 1 species
GACGAACGCUGGCGGCGUGCCUAAUACAUGCAAGUCGAACGCACUCUCGUUUAGAUUGGAGGAGCUUGCUCCUGAUUGAUAAACAUUUGAGUGAGUGGCGGACGGGUGAGUAACACGUGGGUAACCUGCCCUAAAGUGGGGGAUAACAUUUGGAAACGGAUGCUAAUACCGCAUAAAACCUAACACCGCAUGGUGUAGGGUUGAAAGAUGGUUUCGGCUAUCACUUUAGGAUGGACCCGCGGUGCAUUAGUUAGUUGGUGAGGUAAAGGCUCACCAAGACCGUGAUGCAUAGCCGACCUGAGAGGGUAAUCGGCCACACUGGGACUGAGACACGGCCCAGACUCCUACGGGAGGCAGCAGUAGGGAAUCUUCCACAAUGGACGAAAGUCUGAUGGAGCAAACGCCGCGUGAGUGAAGAAGGUUUUCGGAUCGUAAAACUCUGUUGUUGGAGAAGAAUAGUAUCUGAUAGUAACUGAUCAGGUAGUGACGGUAUCC